GGCGUCUGGAGGCGUCGGGACGCUGGCUGCAGGGGCCACGCGGGCUGCGCUGUGUCUUCGGCCUCACUUCACCUGGGGGAAAAGAGACUUCGAGCGCACCCGCAGCCUUCGGGCUGAAGAGCCGUCCAGAGUGGACCGACUGGGGUGCCCGCCUCCGCCUCAGGAACACGCAUUUCUACUGAGCCUGGAGUUUCAAGCAUAUGUCUCAGGGAGAAGAGACCCAUAUAAAGGCAAUUACAACUGGAAGCUCUCUGAGAGAAAGCAGACAUCUGCCACCACGCACUGAGCAUGGCGCUUAGCAGAGUGGCCCCUGGGGAUGACUGUAGCAGUGCAGGAGGACGGCUGGCUUCGUGGGCCUCUUCUGACUCUGCAGGCUCUGGAGAAAACACUCCGGAAGGGCUUCUGUGUGGUCCAAGUUAUUCCAAGCGCCUGCUCUGAGUGUGGACACUUUGCCAGACACAGCACGUGACAACAGCUGAGCCCAGACCAUCCGGCAGGGAAGACAAAGGAGAAAGCUACAGGAGCACUCCCGGGGUCUCCAGCGUGCAGAGAGCCUGAGGACUGGAAGUGAGGCCUGGAGCAGUGUACUGUGCGGCCAGAAGACUUUGCCAGGGCAGGACUGACGGCCCUGACUCUGAGCUUCCACAGGGAAAUAACCCGGCCUCGCCAUGUCACGCCAUGUCACGCAUCUCCAGGGUAACGCACAUCCAGGGACUGACAGCCAUGGGGUGUGUCCCUCCACCCCGCCGUGACUGGGACCCGCACUGGCAGACUGCGCCAGCGUCAGGUCACCCCGUCUUUACCACUGAUUGCCAGCCAGCACUGUGGUGUCUGUGCCAGAGCCCAAACCAUAGCAAGGACUGUGUUCCAAUAAUGCCAUCGAAGCCAUAACUAUUGUGUAUUUAUUUAUAAAUGCAUAAAAUAAACGCUGGACUACAAAACAAAUCCAGGAGAAUAUAAUGCUGCUGUCAUGAUCUUCACAUCUUAGAAACUUACAGAUCAAGAAGACGUCAAUAUUUGUAAGGAUGAAGAUCGGAGUGACGUGGUUACAUCAGUCAAGAGACAGAGAACGACCCAUCUACUAGAAUGUGGUAUAAAAAGUCGACACAGACAGUACAAGUUUACUGUACAACCUCACCAUGGGCUAGAGCGGUGAUGGCAAACCCAUGGCACCUGUGCCACAGCCGGCUGUAUGUUAUCACUGAAAUUUCUAAAAGGUUCACCAUCACUGAGGUCUUCCACGCAGCACGGUAAUGUAUAAUAGAACAUAAAACCACAGCUCUGCACCGCACCAUACAAUCAACAAAAACUGCAGUACUGCGCCGCAGAGGAAGUCGCUCAAGGCCACACUGCGGCUCACGUUCCUGCGCGCUAGGUCUGAGCUCAGCUCGGAAUCCAACCAGCCGGUACCGAAUCCAGACAGCAGCCUCGGUCCUAAGUGCGGAGGGCUGCUAACACAUAAAGUGAGGGCUCGCUGCGCCUGAAGACAGCUCGCUGCUGAAGCUCGUCGCUUCCUCUGCAGAAUGAACACCGGCUUCUUCCAGCUCUUCGAUGGGAAGGCAAGGAGAAGAGCUGCUCGGGGACUUCGUGCUCUGCUUCAGCUGUCCCGCCGUGUGCAACCAGAAGCACAGCAGGUUCCUUCUCCCUCCUCUGCCCCUACCCCUCUCCUUUCUUCCCUGUCCUUUACCGUUUGCUGUGCUCACAUGGUGUUUGUGUUUCGGAGUCACUCACCCGCUGGAAGUCCAUAAACAAGCAUGCUGCUUCGGAAGGAAUCACUGGGUCACUUCUCAUCCUCUCCUCUCGGUAGGAAGUGGAACCCUGGGAGGUCCGAUGGAUUCCUCCGGACCCAGGGUUAAGGUCGCUGAGCUUUCGCACCUCCAUCUUUCCUGUCCACGCUUGAGUCCGAAUUGACCCCCACUUCCUGCACCCUCCAGGGCUACAAUGACUUAGUGUAUUUCUAGUUUCCAUAUUUGACAUCUUGGAAGAAGACUGUGCCUUAGCAGCACCAGCGCUCAGCAUAGUGAGCGACACAUAACAGGUGCUCAGUGAGCACCUGGUGAGUGGAAGGCGGCUCAGAGAUCACUGCCUGUUUUGAGUCAAUUCAAGUCACCUCAGGGCCAGCUGAGUUUCCUCCACCUUCCCAUUGGAAAUGCCUCACUUAGGAAUUUGAGUUAGGCUAUACUCUUCCUGCUGUCCUGGCACCAAGCACAACUUCCACUGUCACCAAGAUGAUUUUAAAUGAAACAGAGGAUGCAGACGCUUCAGAAUGCUGUGCUGUAAACACUCACUGAAACAGACAUUUUUUUUGGCUCUUCAGUGUAGAGAGGGAAAAUGAAUAUACAUGCAAAGGUUAAAUUUCUUUUCACACACACGUGCAUAUAAAACAUGCGUAGAGUUACUGCUGUGUGUGUGCAAAUAGAGCAGUGUUGCCUUUGUAUAUUCCAGCAUAUGUACCUCUCCCGAAUUGCAAAGUGCACUCCAGUUUACGUGAAGUCCUGCGCGGUUAGUCUCACCUCCCAGGCAGUUCCUUGCUAUUCCUUUGCCUCCAAGAAUGUACGAUUUAUUUAACGAAACCACCAUGAAGCGAAUCAGCCAACGCUUGCUCUACCUGGCGGGAAAGUUCCCCAAUGCCACAGCGCUGAUGAACCAGUCGCUGGGCUCUGUGAGACCACAGGCCCAGCGAGGGAAGCCACCUCCAGCAGCCCUGUCUCCCAGCUGCUUCCCACCGAUGUACUCCUGGGUCUCUCAGCUUGGGGAGGGGAAUGAGGAAAAGCACUGCAUCCCCCGGUGCUGGAGAUGGCUGCCUUUCCCUUCUGUUCUCUGCUCUCUCUGUCUCCACACCUCAAUCUUUUCAUAGGAAUGUCCUCAGAAACUAAUGUAAUUAACUGGAACUCUUUAUGUUUUCCUCCCUUCUACUCAUCAGAAGGAAAGCUUAGUUUUUUAGUAGGUAGCCAGUGAACACCAAGCAUUUAGCCAUCUGUUUUGAAAUUUUUGCACAGAAAAAGACCUUGAGCUGUUUCAAUCUGAACCUCUGGGAACUGAUCCAAGAGAGAUGAGAAAUUCAUCCUACCUGAUCCCCGCUCUGCUCCUUCAGAAUCCCAACCCAAAUUAAAGAAAUCAUAAAAUAAGCUGCAAAGUAAGGGAAGUGUAAAUUAUUAAGUAUCAACAAUUAGCCUUCUUAUCUGGCUUGCAAAUGUAGAACACCCUGCAGCAAGGCCUCUUUCUGACCGGAAGGCUGUUUGUUUGAUAAAUUCUGAUAAUUUUAUUGCCUCUAUCCCUGGUUUCCCUGGGGCUCAGUGUCUUAAAGAUGCUGGGGUUGGGAGGCCGUUCUCUGUGGAAGUCACAUCCAGGUUCGUGACUGGACUUUCCUGGCUUAACUAUCUGACUGAUUCAUACAACCAAUGCAUGGGACAGUUACUCAGAGAAUAGCAGCUGGACUGAGAAAUGCCUGUCCUUGGUAUCCAGUUCACCACUGCUGCCCGAGCUGCCCAGCAAGCUGCCUGCUUUCUACGUUUUGCUCAGAUUCUGGGGGUCAGGAAUUGAGCAGGGCAUGGUGAUGAUGACUCGGCAUUCCUCUACAAGGUUUGUGGCCUCAGAUGACAAAACUCAAGGUUAGGGGUGGCCAGAGGCAGAGAACAGUGCCACCUGAGGGAGCAUUUGGUGGCCAUUGUUGAGAAGAGGGUUCCAUCAGCGAGGGGGACAUCCUGGGUCAGGGCUCAGGUGGCCCUGUCAUGUGCUUCUCACCGCUUCUCGAAUAGCUGACUUCUCAGCUGACUCCCAAGAAGAGAGUCCUGGCUGUCAGAGCCAGCGUCUCACCUUUUCAGACCUCCUUCGAAGGCGGGCAGCCCAUCUCAUUCGAGUGGUUGUAAGCAAGCCCCAGCCCGGGCAGAUUCCGGGAAGCUGACAUAGACCCUGUGUCCAAAAGAGAGCUGUGUCGGGGGCACGCUGAGGACAAGCAUGGCAACGGGAGACAUGUCUGUGACCACCUCCUGAGAGCGCACAGUGGCUGACAGCUGGAUGGGGAGCGAGACAGGCAAAGAAAUAGAUGCAAAGAAAGACUGCAGUGCUUUGAAAGAUGCUUUGAGGGCACCAAGCACCCGUCGACCAUACGUGGAGAAAACAGGGAGGAGGAACAUCUCAUAAAUGAGGCUCUUUGUGGUGCAUGCUGUUUGUGUUGUGUGUGUCCCAUGGAACAGGCACACACUCCCUGUGGUCUGUGCACAGUUGUGUCUGCACACUGUGGCUCCUGCCAGACAUCCGGUCUUCCUUCCCUGUCGUAUUCUCUGCAUUUUCUCUGGCACACUGGAGGAAAGGCAGCGUCACCAGAGGCAUGGGGCUUAGAGUCCUCCUGAAUUUUCUAAGCGAAUCCAUUUGAGAGGGCAGCAAGGAAGGCAGUCUCUUCAGGACAGAGCUCAUGUCAAAGCAGAAAGUUUCAAAGAAGAAACUGGAUGUCCCAUCCAGUUCUUCAAAUGACACCAUGAGCCUGGAAAGGACCUCUGAACACCCCACCUCCAGUGACACUGCUCCUGGGCCGGAUGGUUCUCUUGGCCAGCUCAAGAGCCACGCUGAAGAACUGUAUCGGAGACAGAGUGAAAGGUGUUCAGAGGCUGCGUCCCCAAGUACUCGGAGCUUCCUGCUCUCACCAGUUCUGUAAAGCUUUAUGGCUUGCAUUGUACAACGCUGGACACUGAGACAGAAAGUGGUUUUUUAGGAUUACCAUUGGAAUUACAAAUCCAAUACACUGUGACAACUGCAAGACACUGAGAAAAAAAUUUGGACCCUUGGGAAUCUACUUGUCGGUCCCUGACUGAAUAAGAGUUUCAGAAAGCACGCUAAUGAGAAGACUGUUUAAACCGCAGAAUGAUGCCAGAGUGUUUUCCCCGCUUCCACUAGAAAUUGUCAAUCAGAGGAUGCCUCGCGCCAUUCAGCUCGAACUCUGCCGACAACUUCCACUCUUCAGCCUGCAAUUAUCAUGAGCCAUGCCAAGUUGGAUGUACUUGGACCUAAAUCUUUGAGCACAUCCUUACUGAGGGAAACAUUGCUAUUUCUUAGGCGUUAAUUAACAGUCUAAGAAGAAAAGCAUACAGACAUCGGAGUCCACUCUGUCUGAAAUUCUCCCAGUGACGUGCCAGGAAGAGAGAAUGUACUCGAUAAACAUUGAAACCGGUGUGUGAAUGUGCCCUGUAAUGGUUGGGACAAUUCUUGCUCUUGGAGAAAUGGAAGACACAACUUCUAUGUUGUCACCUAUUUUAGUCACCCAUUUUACAGCCUACAGUCUUCUAUUUCGCUAUCAUUCAGAAGGAUUCCAAGGAUCAAGCAAGUGCAGGGCUGUUACUGUCUCAGGAAUAAUUCCACCAAAGAGCUAUGCAGCAUCUCCUGCCAAGCUGCUGUAUCACAGCUGCCUGUACUGCCUUCCUGCUGGACUCCUUCCUCCCAUUCUCCCAGUCAUCAGGCUCCUGUCAGAUCAAAUGUGAAGAGAAGUCAGAAAGCAGAGUGUGUUCCGAGUUACUGAUCGAUGGGCGAUGAUCCGAAUUCUCUCCCCAAAAUGGGCAUAACCUACCUGGGAUUCCCUGUCUUCACAUCGCUGCAGCUGUGGCACCUGAGCGGCAGUACUUGGGGGCAGCAUUGCGCUGCUCCACUUCACCCAACAGCUUCAUCUUAGUCUCCACUGGGCCACUGGACUCAACAAAGAGACCCUUCCGGAGCCGUGGCGGCCUGUGAGCACAGGACUAAUCAAACACGAAGACUCAGAUGUCUAAGGUCUCUUUUUACACCGUUGGCAACAACCCUCAGGCGAGUCUUCCACGCCCAGAAUCAUCGCACUGACUCAGGUCAGCUGGGUGUUGCGAGUUGACCGUGAGCUCGUCCAGCCCAGCUGGGAGGAAGCUCGGCGCUCAGGAGUCGGCGAUGCAUCUGCUCUGCCACGAGGCCGGGCAGAGGCCGGGCAGUUCCUCGGGGGCCGCGGUCUCCAGGCUGAGCUUUGCUGCACGACUGCUCUUUACUCCACAACCUGCACCCAAACUGCGCCUGAAGCGGUAACCCGGCUCCGUGCCCGUGUCCGGCCCAACAGCCCGAUUCCAUCUCCACCCGGACGCUGCGCCUGCCGCCUUAGUUGCAGGCUCAUCUUCC